rnacentral:lncRNA from 1 species
GUGAAGUUCGCUAAACGACCCUCUCAAAUUCUAAGCAUUUUCAGAUAACAAUUACUGAGCGCCCCGUAUUUGUACAUUUUAUUUGGCGAGGCACGACUCACUCAUUACUUUCUAAAAGGGAAUGUCUAAAAAUAAACCUGAAGGUUCAUCGACUAUUUGUUAUCCAAUUAGGGCUCACCUCAAUUGUUUUAAUUCAAGGCCCACGAGUAAUUAUGAAACUAACAAAAUUUCUGCUAGUCGAAACUUAAUAGAACGAAGUGAGUCAAGUCCAGGCCCACACAAUAGGCCUGGUGUUUUUGGCUCAACACUAGAGCAACAUAAUCGAACCCCAGCAGCAACGAGAGGGCUCGAAUUAUUUUGAUUCUUUAGACCUGGCGUUAACAUGUCAAGUAAUAAGGUCUAUAUAUGUAGGUUACCAAAGAUACUGGGAAUUCAAAUUAAACUGCUCCUAUUGGAAAAUCAAUUUUAGAGAAUUUGACCAAUUGGAUAGUCAUUUUAAAACAAAUUUGUGCAAUAGUGUCAGGAAAUUAAUUAGAGUCAACAUAGGCUGCUCAUUUACUCAAAACAUGAAAUUAACUACAAUUUGUAAUCAAACUAACCUAUGAAUCAGUUAACAACCCACAGAGAUUCACAGUCCAAACUGCGUAAACACUACUUUAACUACAAAAAAAACUGCCUACAAAUACUAACAAGUAACGAUGCACUACAUUUUUCCUUUUUCAUCAACUCAAUUUUGAUCUAAUUACUACCAUUCCAAUAGAAAUCCACUUAACAUUAAGGAAUAAAAGUUUAACUACACAAAUAGAACAGAGGCUAAAUCAAAACUUCAAUUCAUCAUACAUGCUCAAUCUUCAUGUUUUCAGCUUACAAUUGCCAAAUUUUUAGCAGUAUACCUGGAAUUCGAAAUUAAAAGGAAGAAGAAUAAGUUAGCAACAGCAACCACGAUCAGAAUUCAAUCAGCCAUGAAUCACUUCAGCAAACCAGGAGAGCGUGAAACCAAGCAACCCAUCAAUUAACCAUAACUACUCGAGUGAAGUUGAAAUUUGAUCCAGGAUACACAGAACACGUUCAGCAAUCGAACCAACAAAGGACAAACCUCCAAAUGAACCUAUAUGCUGUAAAUCUCGCACACAGAACUGAAGACGGAGAUGUUUGAGCUAUUUUUAAUCCUAACUAAGCUAGGAAAACUGAAUCACUGAUUAAAAAUUGAAAGUGAUCUAAUGGGAGGCAAUGAAGUAAUUUUUUUGAUUUUUCUGUUUAAUAUUUGCUUUUGUGUUUGGUUUUUGGAAGAUUUGAAGUUUGGAUUGCAAAUUUUAGAUCUGGAAUUAGUGAACAAUGGGAGGGAUUUUUGGGAGGCUCCAAACUUAUGAAUGAAGUAAAUGACAUGCCCUUUUAUAGGCACAAAUGAGGGCAGCCCUCAGAUUUUCAGUUUUCCUUUUAGUCCCCCCUAAUUUUCAGUUUUCUCCAUUUACUUUUGACUUGCUAAUCAAGUAAACGCCCUCAUUUUGCUGAAAUCUACACUAAAGUAUCAUUCUAGAAGGCCCUAGGAUGCUCUUCUACCCACAAAAUACCUAUACUGCCCUUACCCCUACUUUAAAAUUACUAUUCUUAAAGAAACUACCCUUUCUAUAUCUAAAAUGCCCUUGAUUACUCCCUGAAAUUAUUGACCAUAUCAAACAAACUAUCCUAAGUAAAACUUAAUUGUGGUUAACGAAAGAGUGAGUUAUUCAGUUAUAUCCAAACCUUAAACCUAAUGAAAUUGCAAAUGAAGACUGAACAUCAAUUAAACUAAACAUAAACUAACAGAAUCAUUAAUUCAAAUAGACGAGAAUCAAACAAUUUCAAAGCGAGCUGGAAACAGGAUAAAAAACAAAAAUCUGAUUCAAGGAGAACAAUCGAUCAAACUAAUCAAGUUGAACUAAUCGAAACUAAGAUAAAACUUUAACAAUUAACUAACAAUUGAACCUUUAAACUAAGAAGAAAAGACUUCGACUCACAAUUAGCUAACAAUAACAAGAAAAAACUCUAUUAAAAUUAAACUACCAAUUAGAAUAUCUGGAAAUUAAAUUAAACCUAAAAUGCAAAGAAGGCUCACUGAUUAAAACAUAUGGAAUGAAAGAGAAGAAGAAGAGGAAUUAACUAAUAAAAUCAUAGAGCUAAAAAAUACUUACUAUGGAAAGCACUCGACAUUGAAAAGUUCCCAAAAGGCCAGCCCGAACGAACUCUAAAUCCAAAGGGUCCCCAGGCUGUACUGAGAUUCAUGAGGUUCUGGCAUGGAAUUUAUUACGAAGAAGGUAAGACGGCCACCUGGUAUCCAUUUGGGUGGGAAAAAGAGGCAGUGCUGCUACUGGAAUUCAAGGGCGGCGGCUAGGGUUCUUCGACUUUGAAUCAAGAUUAGAAGCCUUUGUGGUUGAUUCGGAAGAAAAAAUAUGUGGAUUUGGCAUGAGAAGGCUGAGACAAUGCCAGGGUGUUUUGGCGGCCAUUGGUGUAACUUACGUCUUGGCCGGAAUCUUCAAAAUGAAGAUUCGAGCCGGUGGGGGCUGAUUCGAGGGAAACCGGGUGCAUGGUUAGAAAGAGGAGAUCGAGGAGGGUCACCGGUGUAUUUUGGGUGGUCAUCGGUGUAGUUAUCGUCUUCGCCGCCGGCGAGUUUUAUCGGGGAAAAAUAGGGCAGUUGAUGAAUUAGGAUUUAGGUUGGAGAGGAUUGGGGGUCUGAGAGGAUCUGAGGAGGGGGGGUAGGGUGAUGUUAGGACAUAUUUAUACAAAACAUCCUAGGACACCCUCGUCCAUUGGAUUAAGAUCGAACGGCUUUGAUUAAACGAACAAAACACUGUCGCUUCAGAACAAUAGGACCGGGUGCGGGGAUUGAAAUUGGGCAUGGUUCUUGGGCUGGGGAAAUUUGGUCACUAAUGAGCCCAAUUGGUGUUUUUAUUAGAGGCAACAUUUUUAAAUUAUUUUUCUAUUAUCUCCUUUGUUUUAUUUUUGUUUU